UACGUAGGUGGCAAGCGUUGUUCGGAAUUAUUGGGCGUAAAGGGCGCGUAGGCGGUUUGUUAAGUCAGCUGUGAAAGCCCGGGGCUCAACCCCGGAGGGUCAGCUGAUACUGGCAGGCUAGAGUACAGAAGAGGUAACUGGAAUUCCCGGUGUAGCGGUGAAAUGCGUAGAUAUCGGGAGGAACAUCCAUGGCGAAGGCAGCUACCUGGACCAACACUGACACUGAGGCACGAAAGCGUGGGGAGCAAACAGG
rnacentral:rRNA from 1 species